CAAUUAAGCGUACGUGGUGGAUGCCUUGGCAGCUAGAGGCGAUGAAGGACGUGGUAGGCCACGAAAGGCUUCGGGGAGCAGUCAAACAUGCUUUGAUCCGGAGGUAUCCGAAUGGGGAAACCCACCCAGUUUACUGGGUACCUUGCACUGAAUAUAUAGGUGUAAGGGGCGAACGCGGAGAACUGAAACAUCUAAGUACCCGCAGGAAAAGAAAUCAACCGAGAUUCCCUGAGUAGCGGCGAGCGAAAGGGGACUAGCCCUUAAGCAACUUGUGUUUUAAGAGAACAGUCUGGGAAGGCUGGCCAUAGUGGGUGAUAGCCCCGUAUCUGAAAAGGCACUUGUUGUGAAAUCGAGUAGGUCGGGACACGAGAAAUCUUGACUGAAUAUGGGGGGACCAUCCUCCAAGG
rnacentral:rRNA from 1 species